UAGAAUGUGGUAUAGAGGAAACAUAGAGAACUUUGAGUUCUUAGAUAUAGGUUCAAUUACUAUUGUUAUAG
rnacentral:tRNA from 1 species